GAUGAAUGCUGGCGGCGUGCCGAACACAUGCAAGUCGAGCGGCAGCGCGGGUAGUUUACUACCUGGCGGCGAGCGGCGGACGGCUGAGUAACGCGUAGGAACGUGCCCCAAAGUGAGGAAUAACUGCCCGAAAGGGUGGCUAAUGCCGCGUAUGAUCUUCGGAUUAAAGUAUUUAUUACGCUUUGGGAGCGGCCCGCGUC
rnacentral:rRNA from 1 species